rnacentral:lncRNA from 1 species
CUAAUGAUUUCCUCCCAUGUGUUUGCUUGAGCAAUUCAAACUUUUCCCUUAUCCCAGUUCUUUCUAUUCAUGCUUUCAUUCCCCACUAGACUGUGAGGUCCCCAGAGGCAUGGAUUCUAAUUAAUCCUUGUAUCUCUCUUCCUCCUGUUGUUCGCAAAAUCCUUUCUUUCCUUCUUUCUUUCUUUCUUUGUUUCUUUCUUUCUUUGUUUCUUUCUUUCUUUCUUUCUUUCUUUCUUUCUUUCUUUCUUUCGUUCUUUCUUUCGUUCUUUCUUUCAUUUUUUUCUUUUUUUUUGUUUGUAGAAAUGACAUAUGUCAUUGACUCAGUUGGCUCCAGACCAGAGUUUAGCUACUGUUUGCAUUAGUCUUCUUAUUUUUACAUAGUGAGAAAUCUAAUGCUUACAAAAAAACAAAAAACAAAAAACAAAAACAAACAAAAAAACCCUUCAUGUCCCCUAUACCUGCAAACAUAAUUCUCAAAAGCAUAUUUAUCAUAAUAGUUAUGUAUUCUAAACUCAUUUGUUUUAGAUACAUAUGAGCUAAAGUAAAGGAAUAAGCUAUCUUAGAAGUAUAAAUUUUGAAAGCUUGAUUUUCUAGAGACUUUUAUUCUGAGAGGGGUGUAUCAUGAGGCUUUUUAAGGACAUUCAGAGAGCAGGUGCUUUCAAACAUGUCUAAUGGUUGUGCCAUAAAUGGGGCCCACAGACACCAAAGGAUCAGCCAGGCUGAGCUUUCCCUACCGUGAGACAAUGGUGUUUCAUAAUUUGAAAUGAGCUUCUAAUUAUUUUAAUGGGAUUAUUCUGCUCUUUGGCAUAUCAAGCAAUUUGUUUUACACCUUUUCUCAUUAUUUUUCAUUUUUGAAGACUUAAAUAGAAGAGACAUGACAGAAUAGGAGUCCUGUUUCAUCUCUUGGACCAUUAAUUAUGCCAUAGGAAUCUCUGUACAGACGAGACCCCAAGAGAAAUGAGUCUUGUCAGGUCGGAUUUCGUUUAACGGAUUUCAUUCUUUAUCCUUCAAACAAGUUUUCUUAGAAAGCCAUUAAUCACUGAAGUAUGGAUUAAAAUGGUGACAAUAAUGGAAAUAUAACCAACAACAAAUUGUUCAUGGUUGGUUUCUUCAAGGAUCUGACAGCUAAUUUAUAAAACAAGUUAUUUUUAUGCAGAAGGACUUUUCUGACUACAAUAAAAUUGAGCAAAAUGCUCAACAUCAUUCCAUGGCCUGUGGGAGAAUUCAUCAUCACAGACUGUCGCCUGUCCUGUCAGAGUCCUUUUCCUUGCCAUGUUUUGCCAGAUUUCAUUGACUACUUGUCCUGAGUCACCACUAGAAUGUAUCCUUUAGAUAAUUACUAAGUUUGCUCAUGUAAAAAGUUAUAUGUAAAAUAUAUUUUCUCUAUUCAAUGUAUGUAUUGAAAAGCUCUCAGGUUGUACUAAAAAAAAAAACCUUAAAAAUGGACAAAACUGGUUUUCAUCUCAUAUAUUGAUUGAUCUCAAUUUCAUUCAUAGAUCUAUAUCCCAAACAUUGACAUUAAUGCAUUUGGAUUCCUUUUGUAAUUUAUAUGCCUUCAUCUUUACCAGCUCUCCAGCCUUUCUAGCUGAGUGAUCAGUGACAGAAUUUUACUGUUGUU